rnacentral:rRNA from 1 species
GAUGAACGCUGGCGGCGUGCCUAAUACAUGCAAGUCGAGCGAACGGACGAGAACCUUGCUUCUCUGAUGUUAGCCGCGGACGGGUGAGUUACACGUGGAUAACCUCCCUAUAAGACUGGGAUAACUUCGGGAAACCGUAGCUAAUACCGGCUAAUAUUUUGAACAGCAUGGUUCACAACUGAAAUACGGUCUUGCUGUCACUUAUUGACGGAUCCGCUCUGCAUUAGCUAGUUGGUAAGGUAACGGCUUACCAAGGCAACGAUGCGUAGCCGAUCUGAGAGGGUGAUCGGCCACACUGGAACUGAGACACGGUCCAGACUCCUACGGGAGGCAGCAGUAGGGAAUCUUGCGCAAUGGGCGAAAGCCUGACGGAGCAACGCCGCGUGAGUGAUGAAGGUCUUCGGAUCGUAAAACUCUGUUAUUAGGGAAGAACAUAUGUGUAAGUAACUGUGCAGAUCUUGACGGUACCGAAUCAGAAAGCAACGGCUAACUACGUG